UGCAGUCAGCACAAUGUGGCGAAAGCUUCCCUAACACGACUCUUAUCAGUCAGGAUGUUCAGGCUAGGAAUCACAGCAGGAAAACCAAACGACCCAAAGCUGACGAAACCCUGAACUCACUG